rnacentral:lncRNA from 1 species
AAGAGAAGAGCAUUAGCUAUAAGAAAUCCUUAAGAAAAGAGAAGAUGUACAUUUAUAUUCCUCGGAGCUUUGGCAACCACUCUGGUGGUAACAUUGAGAUGUUAUCCAUUCUUCCAUCUUUAUAUGACAUUAAUUUCAGCGUUCAGUUUUUGUAAUGAUAACAAAACAUUCAUAGAUGAAUCAUAGAUAUUACUUUCUUACUUCCUUCCAUCUUUGUGGAUUAUGGACACAAACUAAGAACAACUCCAGGAUAGAUAAAUCAAACGUCUUUAUUUUUUAGUAUUUAUCACAGUAAAAUUUAUAUCUACAUGUAUCAUUUGGGGUUGAUUAAUGAAUUUGUUUGUAUUGCAGUCUGAAUUUGGAUAUAGUGGAGAUGACGGAGGUGCCAAGGAGACGUGAAUCAUCAUGUUUGGCCGGCUGAGCUGUAAUUUGAACAACUUUGUAUCAUUCCUUCUAAUUCUUCUAUGAAAGUUUGUCCUUAGAUUUUCAGACUUUCUCAUUCAUCCUGUGGAUAACGUUUCUUGGUAGAAUUAACCCACGAUCCGGGGAGUACCAUUUUGCUGCAAAGCUCCCCUUAAAGAGAUUUAACACUGCUGCAUGCUUAUGGCCGGGUUCAAACGAGGACUUCUGGUUAAGCUGGAAGAGUCCCUUACCAUAUCAACUAUGGAUAAUUUUUUUUACAUACAUGUAUCUGAGGAACUUGAGGAACCUAAGUUAUAGUCUGACUUAGCAUACAAGAUUAUUUGUAUCACUUUUUUUUGGAUAUGUUUCAUGAUUUUGAUAAUUGAGAGAGACACAUUUAAUUUGUUUUGCAGCAUGUUUCAUAUUGAGUACAAGAUCUUGUAGACGGAAUGGAAGUUUUGCAGACUGUGUUCUUAUGCUUUAAUUUGGUCAGCUGUCUACUAAUGACUUCAUAUUUCAUUCUUUUUUGUUGAUACUCAGCAAAAAAUUGUGAUGUUAAAACUUAUCUAUAUUAGGUUGAAGCUUAAAUUGUGAUGUUUCAUAUUGAGUACAGGAUCUUAUAGACUCGAUGGUAGUUUUGCAGGCUGUGUUCUUAUGCUUUAAUUUGGUCAGCUCUCUACUUAAAAUGACUUCAUAUUUCAGUAUUUUUUGUUGAUACUCAGCAAAUUUGAACAAUUAUGUAUCAUUCCUUCUAAUUCUUCUAUGAAAGUUUGUCCUUAGAUUUUCAGACUUUCUCACUCAUCCCGGGGAUAACUUUUUUAUGUAAAACUAACCCACGAGUCAAGGAGGACCAUUAUGCUGCAAAACUCUCCUUCAAGAGAUUAAACACUGCUGCAUGUCUAGGGCUAGGAGAUUUAAUGCUGCUGCAUGCUUAGGUCCGGGUUUAAACGAGGACUUCUGGUUAUGCUGGUAGAGUCCCUUACCAUAUCAACCAGAGAUAAUCUUUUUUACACACAUGUAUCUGAGGAACUUGAGGAACCUUAGCAUACAAGAUUAUUUAUGAAACUAAAAAUCAAUUCAACCAUAUGGGUAUCCCUCAAAGAGUCUGCAACUGGAGCAAGAACUUGACUUAAAGUGGAGCCUAGUUGAGCAGAAGACGUUGCAAUUGGUUUUUGUCGUUGUGAUUGUACUUUCAUCCGGUGAUCUCUAGAGCCUAGUUGAGCAGAAGACGUUGCAAUUGGUUUUUGUCGUUGUGAUUGUACUUUCAUCCGGUGAUCUCUAAUACGACUAUUGAUUCUUCAUGUUUACUUGUAUAUAUUAAGAUCUUGCUUUCUCGUUUUCUUGGUUUGUUGAUAGGGGUCACAUGGAAUAUGUACAUUGAGAACUGAUUAGGUGAUUGUCAUAGACAUUUUGCUUGAUUCAUUGGAGAAAGGCUCUGUAUUUCGUGGAAUUUUAAUAUUUGCGUUUAACAGGUCAUUUUUUCGUUAAAGGUACACUUGAUUUGAAAUAUAGUUGUCCUAUGCGAGUGUAAUGAUUGAAUGUUGAUUUUUGUGUAUUGCAGAAGCAAUGCCAAUAUUAGGGGUGCUUUAGUAUUUG